CGGUGGCUGUCCAGGCAGAAGUGGCCCUACAGACAAACUUCUUUGCUGCCAGAGACUUCUUGACUCACUUCCUGCCGCUCAUCAAACCAGGCGGUACGAACACACAGCUGCAUCUGAAGAAGGGUCAUGCAUUGUGUGUCAUCUGAGGAUGGACAAAAGCAUUGCCUGUUUCCUUCCUCACAGCGUGGACAUCCCCUCUCAGUGUUUGCUCCACAUGCCUUUGGAAUUCCUCUUCAAACUCUUCUGGAGAUCAAUCGCUUGGUGCACAGCUGUCAUUCCUCUCACGGUUUGCAAACACAGAAGUGUCCAGCUAUGCCCGAAAUGUCACACUUUCCUCAUCCGAGUGAAUUUCUACCACGGUCCUGAAACAUUCCUGGGGGUAUUCUGGUGAAAAUGGUUGCUGCUGCUCAUCUCCAGGGAUCAAUGAGUGAAAGGAUCUGCACAAAACAACAGUUUUAUCACUGUGUAAUGCUGAGAAACCAAUGCAUCCUCACCAUCAUACUUAAAAACUAUUUGGGGAAACCAGUUAAGAUGGAAGUCUUUGGACGGUGGGAGGAAACCA